UCGGGGACAUGUCCCAACCAAGAUUGGUUUUGGUUUUCUUUGCAUAGAGGCUUUGUUAGAUUACUGUGUACUUGGGUGGUGUUGGUUGGUUAUUUUGGAAUCAAUUGUGGGUUAUUGGUUAUAGACAUAGCUCUUAUUCUUAGAACUCAUCUUGUACUAUCUUUCUAUAUGUUCAAAAUUCAACCCUUAUUAGGCAGUGUAUGGUUUUUGUUUAGGUUCAGGGGUGGUCUUCAAUCCAUAGUGGACUUAAGAUACCCAUCACAGCCAGGCCCUGGUUUGGGUUGUGACAAAGUUGGUAUCAAAGCCAAGGUUUGGUGUCAUUGGGUCUCCACAAAUCUGUGUCAAGUAAAGUCUCUUUUAUGAGUGUGCAGCAC
rnacentral:lncRNA from 1 species